AGGUUGCUUGCAACCUUGAGACCGGCGCACGGGUGCGUAACGCGUAUGCAACCUACCUUCAUCUGGGGGAUAGCCCGGAGAAAUCCGGAUUAACACCGCAUAAAAUCACAGUCCCNCCUGGGACAAUGAUCAAAUAUUUAUAGGAUGGAGAUGGGCAUGCGUGUCAUUAGCUAGUUGGCGGGGUAACGGCCCACCAAGGCGACGAUGACUAGGGGAUCUGAGAGGAUGGCCCCCCACACUGGUACUGAGACACGGACCAGACUCCUACGGGAGGCAGCAGUAAGGAAUAUUGGUCAAUGGAGGCAACUCUGAACCAGCCAUGCCGCGUGCAGGAAGACUGCCCUAUGGGUUGUAAACUGCUUUUAUUCGGGAAUAAACCUUAUUACGUGUAAUAAGCUGAAUGUACCGAAGGAAUAAGGAUCGGCUAACUCCGUGCCAGCAGCCGCGGUAAUACGGAGGAUCCAAGCGUUAUCCGGAUUUAUUGGGUUUAAAGGGUGCGUAGGCGGCCUGUUAAGUCAGGGGUGAAAGACGGUAGCUCAACUAUCGCAGUGCCCUUGAUACUGAUGGGCUUGAAUGGACUAGAGGUAGGCGGAAUGAGACAAGUAGCGGUGAAAUGCAUAGAUAUGUCUCAG
rnacentral:rRNA from 1 species